rnacentral:lncRNA from 1 species
AAGCACGGAAUUUUGGUAUGUUGAGCAAGGGAUCUUAGCUCAGGAAUCUGAUGGGUCGUCCUCUUUCAGAAAUCCUCUACCCCGUCAAGAGGAGAAAUGGUGGCUUCCCGUACCUAGAGUUCCCUCUGGUGGUCUCAGUGAAGAUGCAAGAAGGCAAUUGCAGCACAGACGUGACUGCACAAACCAAAUGCUGAAAGCUGCAUGUACCUAGAGUUCCCUCCGGUGGUCUCAGUGAAGAUGCAAGAAGGCAAUUGCAGCACAGACGUGACUGCACAAACCAAAUACUGAAAGCUGCAUUGGCUAUUAACAGCAACACCUUAGCUGAAAUGGAU